rnacentral:rRNA from 1 species
AACGAACGCUGGCGGCAUGCCUAACACAUGCAAGUCGAACGAGACCUUCGGGUCUAGUGGCGCACGGGUGCGUAACGCGUGGGAACCUGCCCUUAGGUUCGGAAUAACUCCCCGAAAGGGGUGCUAAUACCGGAUAAUGUCUUCGGACCAAAGAUUUAUCGCCUUUGGAUGGGCCCUCGUUGGAUUAGCUAGUUGGUAGGGUAAAAGCAUACCAAGGCGACGAUCCAUAGCUGGUUUGAGAGGAUGAUCAGCCACACUGGGACUGAGACACGGCCGAGACUCCUACGGGAGGCAGCAGUGGGGAAUAUUGGACAAUGGGCGAAAGCAUGAUGCAGCAAGGACGCGUGAGUGAUGAAGGCAGUAGGGUUGUAAAGCGCUUUUACCCGGGAUGAUAAUGACAGUACCGGGAGAAUAAGCUCCGGCUAACUCCGUG